UCUAUAGUUGUUGCUUCUUCACUAAUUUGAAUUUUUCUCUUAUAUUUCAAUACCUCAAGUUUAUGAUUUAUUUGCAGAAGUUUGGUAUUACAUUACUGGAAAUAAAUUUUAUUUUCCUACUAUUGGUAGAGGCGUUUUUGUUUUUUUGCAGGUUGGCUCUCCACAAGCUCCAAAACCAUUGCAUGAUGGUUAAAGGAAUUAGGUUUUGUAUAACCAUGACUGAACAAAAGUAUAAAAUAUUGAAACUAAUUGCAAUAGGAUUAAUGCCUUGAGCAUACAGAGGUGUUUUGGCUCUGUUUGGUAGUCUGGAAAAGCUGUAGGAAAAAAAAAAAUGAUGACAAUUACUUAAUGAUGACAAAGUAGAACCCACAAAUAUGAAAUUUCGCAGUCAAGAAAAAGACUUAAUUAGAGCUUUAAUUCUGGAACUUCUUGUAUCAAGAAUGCUGAAAACAAGUCUGUUUAGCUUUUUAGAAGAUGCAUUCUUCAACCCCACUAUAUAUGAAUCUUGUUUCUUGGUUUCUUGAUGGGAAAUUCUGUCCCAAAGUGUCUGUAAGACCCUGCAGUUAUUAAUUAGAGCUUUAAUUCUGAAACUUCUUGUAUCAAGAAUGCUCAAAAACAAGUCUGUUUAGCCUUUUAGAAGAUGCAUUCUUCAACCCCACUAGAUAUGAGUCUUGUUUCUUGGUUUCUUGAUGAGAAAUUCUGUCCCAAAGGGUUUCUGUAAGACCCUUUAGUUAUUAAUUAGAGCUUUAAUUCUGCAACUUCUUGUAUCAAGGAUGCUCAAAACAAGUCUGUUUUAGCUUUUUAGAAGAUGCAUUCUUCAACCCCACUAGAUAUGAAUCUUGUUUCUUGGUUUCUUGUUGGGAAAUUAUCUGUCCCAAAGGGUGUCUGUAAGACCCUUCAGUUAUAUUUGCAUGCUGACUUCUGAUGGUUGGUUCUAACGGUGACUUCAGUUGGCUCAACUCGAGAGGUAAUCUAUGUCCUGAACUGUGAGGGGGCCAGUAUCGAUAUUGUACUUGCUGAAGCUGAUCUUCCUAUGGCCAACAGCAUGAAGAUUUUAAAGUACAUUACUUAAGAUCAAGAGCUGCGACACAUUCCAGUGAUCAUGUUGGUGGCACAGGACAACAUCUCCAUGAUCGCAAAGUGCUUGAUGCAUGGAGCGACUACCUCAUGAUGCCUUUAGGUAGUAACGUGCUAUUUAAUUUGUGGACAUGUCUGGAGAACAAGGCGCAUGCUUGGACUUCCAGAGAAAAACAUCUUUCAUAGUGACUUUGAAAGAUUCGUGGCAUCUGCCAUCUAUGCUGGAGAUGCUUCUGGAAAAGGGGUCAUUUUACAAGACGAGGUGUCCUCAUCCCUUGAAUAAGAACUUCAAAGUCCCCAUGAAAAGUUGGAGAGUACUGGAUGGUCAGUCAUGAAUGUUGAGAUGAAGAGCACAGGCAGCAUUCAAGAAAAUCCAGGUCCUUUUGACACUGAAGGCCAUUUAUAAACAUUGGGCAUUGUAAUGAUUCCAGCUUAGCUUCCAUCUAAAUGAGUUUCCGUUUUCAUCUAAGAAAUGUUGAAUCUUGAGACACUCUCCUCAUUACAAGUUUCUCUAUUGUCAAGAAUUAAAGACUUUAGACACAUGGGUUACUUUCCCUUGUGAUAAAAAAGACAUACUGGUCAGACGAAAAAGACUCCUUCGAAUGGUGACAAGUAUAACAUGCAUGGCUAAUACAUAUUAUCUUCCUAAGUUGCCUGCUUGUGGACUGAGUGCAGCUUUCUGGUUUGAGUAUGAUGUUAUCCCCAUGCUGUGAAGACUGCAAGCAGAGAAACAUGGCUUCUAUGUAGCAGAAUUGACAAACCACAAUAGCCAGCCAGGCAUAUAUAAUCCGGGAUUGGUUGGAUUUUAACCAACCAGCAUGGCUCUGGUUUUCCAUAGUCCAAAGUCUUGUAUCACCACACGGAGCAAUUACACUAGUGUGAAAUUUGGCUAAGGACAUUUCCACCCUUCAAAUUCACAUUGAACCCAUCAAAUCUUGACCAUCUUUAUUGGCUCACUCUAUGAAUGGUCACAAUUCCCUUCUUAUUUUUGACACAUUUAAAAUAAAGGUAUGGUUUUACCAGAUCGAAUAUGUGAAAACUUGACCAAUUGGACUAUCCCAAAUUGGAAACAAAAUGAA